rnacentral:misc_RNA from 1 species
GAUGAAGAACGCAGCGAAAUGCGAUAAGUAAUGUGAAUUGCAGAAUUCAGUGAAUCAUCGAAUCUUUGAACGCACAUUGCGCCCCUUGGUAUUCCGAGGGGCAUGCCUGUUCGAGCGUCAUUAUAACCCCUCAAGCUCAGCUUGGUGUUGGGGCCUGCCGCACGGGCAGCCCUUAAAAUCAGUGGCGGUGCCAUCUGGCUCUAAGCGUAGUAAUUCUUCUCGCUAUAGAGUCCCGGUGGAUGCUUGCCAUUAACCCCCAAUUUUCUAUGGUUGACCUCGGAUCAGGUAGGGAUACCCGCUGAACUUAAGCAUACAAUAAGCGGAGGA